UACGAACCGUCCAAACGUUAUUCGGAAUCACUGGGCUUAAAGGGUGCGUAGGCGGCCCGGUAAGUUGGGUGUGAAAUCCCUCGGCUCAACCGAGGAAUUGCGCCCAAAACUGUCGGGCUUGAGGAAGAUAGAGGUGAGUGGAACUUAGGGUGGAGCGGUGAAAUGCGUUGAUAUCCUAAGGAACACCGGUGGCGAAAGCGACUCACUGGGUCUUUUCUGACGCUGAGGCACGAAAGCUAGGGUAGCGAAG
rnacentral:rRNA from 1 species